rnacentral:rRNA from 1 species
AGGGCACCGCCACGAGUGGAGCCUGCGGCUUAUUUUGACUCAGCCCGGGGAAACUUACCCGGCCUGGACACUGGAAGGAUUGACAGAUUGACAGCUCUUUCUUGAUUCAUUGGGUGGUGUUGCCUGACCUUUCAAUGUUGGAUGAGCAACUUUGCUAGUUGAGUCCCAUGACUAACGACACCCUAUGCUAUGAAAUGUGCUCCCGGCUUUUAAACCCCGGGAGGACUUCUUAGAGGGACAGGUGGCGGUUCAGCCGCACGAAAGAGACAAUGCCAGGUCUGUGAUGCCCUUUGUUGUCGAGGGCCGCACGCGCGCUGGCUGAAGAGAUCAGGGCUGCUUUAUGUUCCUGCUGGCACAUAAGUGGGGAACCCACUGAACCUUCUUCAUGAUUGCUAAAAAAGAUCGUCAUUAUUCUUCUUGAACUAUGCAUCUCCACUACAUGCAAUCCGUAUCCUCGCGUUGAUUACAUCCCAGCCCUUUGUACACUACGCUCCUCGCUCCUACACAUUGAACCAUUCA